rnacentral:rRNA from 1 species
UCANCCAUAGUGUGCUCUGGAAACUGUCUGACUUGAGUGCAGAAGGGGAGAGUGGAAUUCCAUGUGUAGCGGUGAAAUGCGUAGAUAUAUGGAGGAACACCAGUGGCGAAAGCGGCUCUCUGGUCUGUCACUGACGCUGAGGCUCGAAAGCGUGGGUAGCGAACAGGAUUAGAUACCCUGGUAGUCCACGCCGUAAACGAUGAGUGCUAGGUGUUAGGCCCUUUCCGGGGCUUAGUGCCGGAGCUAACGCAAUAAGCACUCCGCCUGGGGAGUACGACCGCAAGGUUGAAACUCAAAGGAAUUGACGGGGGCCCGCACAAGCGGUGGAGCAUGUGGUUUAAUUCGAAGCAACGCGAAGAACCUUACCAGGUCUUGACAUCCCGAUGCUAUUCUUAGAGAUAGGAAGUUACUUCGGUACAUCGGAGACAGGUGGUGCAUGGUUGUCGUCAGCUCGUGUCGUGAGAUGUUGGGUUAAGUCCCGCAACGAGCGCAACCCUUAUUGUUAGUUGCCAUCAUUAAGUUGGGCACUCUAGCGAGACUGCCGGUAAUAAACCGGAGGAAGGUGGGGAUGACGUCAAAUCAUCAUGCCCCUUAUGACCUGGGCUACACACGUGCUACAAUGGUCGGUACAACGAGUUGCGAGCCGGUGACGGCAAGCUAAUCUCUGAAAGCCGAUCUCAGUUCGGAUUGGAGGCUGCAACUCGCCUCCAUGAAGUCGGAAUCGCUAGUAAUCGCGGAUCAGCACGCCGCGGUGAAUACGUUCCCGGGCCUUGUACACACCGCCCGUCACACCACGAGAGUUUGUAACACCCGAAGUCGGUGAGGUAACCUUUUAGGGGCC